CUAAAAAAAAUGUCAUUUCAGCUGUCAUGUUGGAACAAGACAUAGACAAAAGCAGGACGGGCAUAAGACCUAAAUACAGAAAGCAGAGAAGACACUGAGAGAUGCCGCAGACACAAUGGCCAGGACAGCUCCUUGUGUUUGCCAAACUUGUUCCUUAUUCAGCUGUAACAACACAAAUCUCCUGCUCACCCAAUGUUGUCAUGAAAAUACCUCAAGUUCAUCAGAUACUGACCAAGGGUGUAAUGAUUACUUACAUAUCAUCUCUAUGGGCACCAAAACUAAGUGGAAAGAAGGACUAAACUGUUGGAAAUAAACCCCUCACUUGGCAGAAAUUGUUCAUGUGUUCCUGUAAACAACCUGAAGCUACCCACAGGAUGUGUGUGGUCAUCACAGCGCUAUAGCCAAACACCAUUGUGUAAUGUCUUGAUCCCACUCAGUGAGGAGUGACAUGUUCUUAUGCUAUUAACUUGAAACGUCCAAAGAAGAAUGAUGUUGGUAUUGUGUUGAAUACCCCUGUUGGUUCAGGGAUACAGUAUCUGCACCAGAAGAUAAGAACACUUUCCGCUUUUAUAAAACAAAGUUUGGUUAGGG
rnacentral:lncRNA from 1 species